AGUAACGCGUAGGUAACCUGCCUUGUAGCGGGGGAUAACUAUUGGAAACGAUAGCUAAUACCGCAUAACAAUGGGUGACACAUGUCAUUUAUUUGAAAGGGGCAAUUGCUCCACUACAAGAUGGACCCGCGUUGUAUUAGCUAGUAGGUGAGGUAACGGCUCACCUAGGCGACGAUACAUAGCCGACCUGAGAGGGUGAUCGGCCACACUGGGACUGAGACACGGCCCAG
rnacentral:rRNA from 1 species